GUUGUUUACAAUUCAUGAGGUAGCAUUUUUAAUGAAUCACAUAAAUUGAAAAAAAAAAUAGUCCAAAAAAAUAUGGUAUAAUAAGUUAUUACAUACCCCAUUACCAUUGGAUACGCAAGCAUUUCUAUUUUGGUCUAAUGUCGGUUACGGUGCAAAGUUUUAUGUUGGGUUUGAGUUUGCAUAUAAUAUUUGAAAUUUGGGUUUGGAAAUGGAAAUAGUGAAACCUAAGCCAAACUAGACCCAUUGACACCCCUAAACACAAAGCAGACCAAGGGUAAGGAAAAAGGAAAUUAACAAACCCAG
rnacentral:lncRNA from 1 species